GAUGAACGCUGGCGGCGUGCCUAAUACAUGCAAGUCGAGCGAACAGAUAAGGAGCUUGCUCCUUUGACGUUAGCGGCGGACGGGUGAGUAACACGUGGGUAACCUACCUAUAAGACUGGAAUAACUCCGGGAAACCGGGGCUAAUGCCGGAUAACAUUUAGAACCGCAUGGUUCUAAAGUGAAAGAUGGUUUUGCUAUCACUUAUAGAUGGACCCGCGCCGUAUUAGCUAGUUGGUAAGGUAACGGCUUACCAAGGCAACGAUACGUAGCCGACCUGAGAGGGUGAUCGGCAACCCUGAAACGGAGACCCGGUCCAGGUCCCUCGGGGGGGCAGCAGUAGGGAAUCUUCCGAAAGGGGCAAAGGCCUGACGGGGCAACGCCGGGGGAGUGAUGAAGUUCUUGGGAUCGUAAAACUCUUUUAUUGGGAAAAAAAAAAUGUGUAAGUAACUGUGCCCGUCUUGACGGUACCUAAUCAGAAAGCCCCGGCUAACUACG
rnacentral:rRNA from 1 species